GAGACAAGGUCAAGACUCAUACGGGAGGCAGCAGUCGGGAAUAUUGCACAAUGGGCUCAAGCCUGAUGCAGCCAUGCCGCUUGUGUGUAUAAGGACUUCGGGUUGUAAAGCACUUUCAGCGGGGAGGAAGGCGAUAAGGUUAAUAACAUUGUCGAUAGACGUUACCCGCAGAAGAAUCACCGGCUAACUCAGUGCCAGCAGCCGCGGUAAUACGGAGGGUGCAAGCUUUAAUCUGA
rnacentral:rRNA from 1 species